UACGUAGGGGGCAAGCGUUGUCCGGAAUUAUUGGGCGUAAAGAGCGUGUAGGCGGCCAGGUAGGUCUGCUGUGAAAACUCGAGGCUCAACCUCGAGACGUCGGCGGAAACCAUCUGGCUAGAGUCCGGAAGAGGAGAGUGGAAUUCCUGGUGUAGCGGUGAAAUGCGCAGAUAUCGAGGAAGAACACCGAUGCGAAAGCAG
rnacentral:rRNA from 1 species